AUUGAACGCUGGCGGCAGGCUUAACACAUGCAAGUCGAGCGGAGAGAGGUAGCUUGCUACUGAUCUUAGCGGCGGACGGGUGAGUAAUGCUUAGGAAUCUGCCUAUUAGUGGGGGACAACAUUUCGAAAGGAAUGCUAAUACCGCAUACGUCCUACGGGAGAAAGCAGGGGAUCUUCGGACCUUGCGCUAAUAGAUGAGCCUAAGUCGGAUUAGCUAGUUGGUGGGGUAAAGGCCUACCAAGGCGACGAUCUGUAGCGGGUCUGAGAGGAUGAUCCGCCACACUGGGACUGAGACACGGCCCAGACUCCUACGGGAGGCCGCAGUGGGGAAUAUUGGACAAUGGGCGCAAGCCUGAUCCAGCCAUGCCGCGUGUGUGAAGAAGGCCUUAUGGUUGUAAAGCACUUUAAGCGAGGAGGAGGCUACUUUAGUUAAUACCUAGAGAUAGUGGACGUUACUCGCAGAAUAUGCACCGGCUAACUCUGUGCCAGCCGCCGCGGUAAAAC
rnacentral:rRNA from 1 species